GGUCGCUUAGCUCAGUUGGUUAGAGCGUGGUGCUAAUAAACCCCCGGUUAGGAGUUUUCUACUCCUACAAACGGACCUUUCGUUAACGCCAAGGUCGCGAGUUCGACCCUCGUAGUGACCA
rfam:Cochliobolus heterostrophus C5 unplaced genomic scaffold COCHEscaffold_14, whole genome shotgun sequence.